AUUGAACGCUGGCGGAAUGCUUUACACAUGCAAGUCGAACGGCAGCACGGGAGCUUGCUCCUGGUGGCGAGUGGCGAACGGGUGAGUAACAUAUCGGAACGUACCCAGUCGUGGGGGAUAACUAUCCGAAAGGAUAGCUAAUACCGCAUACGUCCUGAGGGAGAAAGCGGGGGAUCGCAAGACCUCGCGCGAUUGGAGCGGCCGAUAUCGGAUUAGCUAGUUGGUGGGGUAAAGGCUCACCAAGGCGACGAUCCGUAGCGGGUCUGAGAGGACGACCCGCCACACUGGAACUGAGACACGGUCCAGACUCCUACGGGAGGCAGCAGUGGGGAAUUUUGGACAAUGGGGGCAACCCUGAUCCAGCCAUUCCGCGUGAGUGAGGAAGGCCUUCGGGUUGUAAAGCUCUUUCAGCAGGAACGAAACGGUCGGCUUUAAUAAAAUCGGCUAAUGACGGUACCUGCAGAAGAAGCACCGGCUAACUACGUG
rnacentral:rRNA from 1 species